rnacentral:lncRNA from 1 species
CUUUCGGUUUCUUCGCCAAGAUCUGGUAGAUUUUAUGAUGCUAGAUUUGAAGAUCAUCAACCUCAUUUUCUUGAAGCUUGUUUUCUUUGUAAGAAACCUUUGGGAAACAAUAGAGACAUCUUCAUGUACAGGUCAGUUUCUAAUUAUUCUAAUUGCUAGAUUCAUUUUGUAAAAUCCAAUUCUAAAAUUUAUUUCAGUGUUUUGCUAUUAAUUAGAGAAUCUAAAUCGCUUUUGCACAAUUACUGUGAUUCUACGGUCAUUUUUGUCAAUUUUACUGUGAAAUAAUAAAUUUUAAACCCUACACCAAACAUGAUGCAUGUUUAGUUUUACUUUGAAAUUGAUCGUGUUCGUUGGAAUUGAAAUUGACAAAAUUACUAUGGAAAGUUGUAAUUUUACAAAUUCUGUAUCCAUUUUUUUAUUAGAUCUAGUUUUGAUGGUGGUGUAAAUUUGUUGAUUUAAUUGCAGAGGGGACACACCUUUUUGUAGUGAAGAGUGUAGACAUGAACAAAUAGAGAUAGACGAAGCGAAAGAGAAGAAUAGGAAUAUUUCUUCUUCAAUGAAUGCUUUGAGAAAAAAGGAGCAAAGAAAAUCUGCAUCGCCAAACAAAGCACAGGAUUACUCCUUUCGUACAGGGACGGUUGCUGCUGCUUAAUAAUAAUUAGUUGAAAUUGAAACUUAAAGUUUCAAAAUAGGCUUUUUAAAAAAAAUGGAAAAUAGGCUUAUGAGUAAAAAAAAAAAAAAAAAGUGGAACUGCAACGGUGUUGUCGGAAAAGAAAAGAAAGAAAAACAAUAGAAGUGAAGUUCACAAGCUUAUUUUCGUUUUACCAUGGAGAAGGGUCAAGACAUAGAGAAAAGAGGUAUUCGAGAAAGUAAUUUUUCGCCACGAAGUUUGUAUAUGGUAAUACGUUUU